CUUUUUCCAAUUUUUUUAAAAUAAAGUUUCAUUUUUUAUAUAUUUUGAUUUGAUGUUUGAAAAAUGGAGAUUCUUAUGUAGUAAGUGAGAUUCACUAUUCCUGAAAAUCUCACUAUUGGAGGGCUAUAAUUGUUGAGUUGGAAGGAACAGAAACUGAUUUAAAGGGAUAUGAAGACAAGAUUCUGCUUUAUGGGUACAAAGCUUGUUGCAUAUGGAAUAUUCGUUCAAUCCUAAGAUACCACCAAAGAUGCUAAUCACAACUACCAUAGACUUGGUUUUGGGAUGCUCCAAUGAAUUGAGAAAGACCAUUAUGGACAACGCUAGUGAGCAUUGGUUUCGACUCAACAAACUCAACCAACUGUAGAUUAUUUGUUAUUU